AACGAACGCUGGCGGCAUGCCUAACACAUGCAAGUCGAACGAGACCUUCGGGUCUAGUGGCGCACGGGUGCGUAACGCGUGGGAAUCUGCCCUUGGGUUCGGAAUAACAGCGAGAAAUUGCUGCUAAUACCGGAUGAUGACGUAAGUCCAAAGAUUUAUCGCCCAAGGAUGAGCCCGCGUAGGAUUAGCUAGUUGGUGAGGUAAAGGCUCACCAAGGCGACGAUCCUUAGCUGGUCUGAGAGGAUGAUCAGCCACACUGGGACUGAGACACGGCCCAGACUCCUACGGGAGGCAGCAGUGGGGAAUAUUGGACAAUGGGCGAAAGCCUGAUCCAGCAAUGCCGCGUGAGUGAUGAAGGCCUUAGGGUUGUAAAGCUCUUUUACCCGGGAUGAUAAUGACAGUACCGGGAGAAUAAGCUCCGGCCUAACUCCGUGCCAGCAGCCGCGGUAAU
rnacentral:rRNA from 1 species